rnacentral:piRNA from 1 species
GUGGUUCAUUAGAAUCUGGGAG